GAACGAACGCUGGCGGCAGGCUUAACACAUGCAAGUCGAACGCCCCGCAAGGGGAGUGGCAGACGGGUGAGUAACGCGUGGGAAUCUACCCAUCCCUACGGAAUAACGCAUGGAAACGUGUGCUAAUACCGUAUACGCCCUACGGGGGAAAGAUUUAUCGGGGAUGGAUGAGCCCGCGUUGGAUUAGCUAGUUGGUGGGGUAAAGGCCUACCAAGGCGACGAUCCAUAGCUGGUCUGAGAGGAUGAUCAGCCACAUUGGGACUGAGACACGGCCCAAACUCCUACGGGAGGCAGCAGUGGGGAAUAUUGGACAAUGGGCGCAAGCCUGAUCCAGCCAUGCCGCGUGAGUGAUGAAGGCCUUAGGGUUGUAAAGCUCUUUCACCGGAGAAGAUAAUGACGGUAUCCGGAGAAGAAGCCCCGGCUAACUUCGUG
rnacentral:rRNA from 1 species